CGCUUUACGAAAAGGUGAAAAAAGGUGAAAUUGAAUUUACAAGCUAAAUACCAUUUUUCAAUAAUCAACCCAGCAUAAUACUUUGAGUUUAUAUAAAUAGGAAGUAUAAAGUAUAUAAAGGUGCAUAUACUAAUAUCAAUCAAAAGGGUCACAUCCUACCCAGACCAAAUCUGAUAUUAGAUCAACUUGCCCAUAAAUAUAGACCUUUCAAUACUUCAUUCAGUCUAUAGGAAAUAUUGUACAUAUUCUCCAAUACUAAUAUUUUAAAUAUUAUCUUAAAUAAAAUUAAGAUAUAUCAUACAUUCAAUAAAGUAUUAUUACUUUAAAAGUAUUUUGUAAUAAUAUUAUACUUUGGCUAUAUUAUUUGAAAUUAAGAUAUAAUCUUAGUUAAGGAAAAUUAUUACUAUUUUUUUUAACAAAAUAUAAUCCACUAAUACCUGUUUCAGAUGGCUAUGCCUAAUCACUUUAAAAAGCAUACUGCUUACUUUACAUACACAAAUAAACCAUGCCUUGGACCCUGGAUUGUUAAGAACAAUUUAUUUACUAUAUCCAAAGAAUGCACGAAUGCAAUCUGCCUUCAAAAAAAUUAUUUUUCUGUAUGAUGCUAAAGAAUUAUAAAGCUAUUCAAGAUGAUAUUCCUAUUCUCACCCAAGAAGCUGUUGUCAGUUAAAACAAUUAUGCAUUAAUUCCAUUUAUUCAAGAUGAUAUUCCUAUUCACACCCAAGAAGCUGUUGUCAGUAAAAAUAAUUAUGCAUCAAUUCCAUAUCAAUCACAAUUCAAUUUUCAAGAUUUAUUUUUUUUAAAAAAAUCAAUUUAUAAAUUAAUAAAAUCAAAAUAUAAUAAUGACUUUUUAUAUUCUAAUAAGUAUUUGUACAUUAAUGAUAAAUUAAUAUAUUAUAAAUGCCAUACAAAACAUUGUAAAGGGAGGAGGAUUUUAAAUACUCAUUUUAUAAUGACACAAGCAUAUUGAUCAUAAUGAUGAAGAUAUAAAUAAUACGCUCAUCACGAUCAAUAUGCUUAAAACAGAACUUAUGUUAAAUCAAAAUAUCAGUAUUAGAAAGACAUACAGAAAGGUUAUGAGAGACAGAAAACUCGAUCCUUUCUGUAUGCAAAACCCCAAAACGUUACCUACCUUUUUAUCAGUUAAAUCCAUUAUGGGACGUGUUAUUCAAUUAACACGACACCCCCUUCCCCUUUCAAAUGGUGAUAUUAUAUUAACCCAAGAGCACACAAAAUCACAUUUAAGUUUUUUUAAAACUACAAUGUCUACUUUUGCCAUAUAUUCUUUUUUCACGAUUUUUCCUCCGUCAUGUAAUUAUAUUAAUUGUUCAAUAAUUUCCAUGUUGUCAAUAAAAUAACAGCUAUUAGUCUAAGUAUUUAUAUUCUAGUCGGGUCAUACAGAAGUGGUAUACGCCAAUUACAAUAUUAUGGUCGUUCUUACAUUUAUAGCCUAAUUUUAUAUUGUAUUUAUCCACAAUUUUUGUGAUUUUUUAUUUAUUUAUUAACGUUUUGUAUUGCAUUUAUGCGCAUUUUUUAUCCAAUUAUUUUUUUCUGUAUUUAACGUUAUUCGUAUAUUUAUACUAAAUGAUACCCUUAUAAAUAAUGUAUUAUAAGAUUAUAUAUU